CCUGAAGUGGGGGAUAACCAUUGGAAACGAUGGCUAAUACCGCAUAAUGCCUACGGGCCAAAGAGGGGGACCUUCGGGCCUCUCGCGUCAGGAUAUGCCUAGGUGGGAUUAGCUAGUUGGUGAGGUAAUGGCUCACCAAGGCGACGAUCCCUAGCUGGUCUGAGAGGAUGAUCAGCCACACUGGAACUGAGACACGGUCCAGACUCCUACGGGAGGCAGCAGUGGGGAAUAUUGCACAAUGGGCGCAAGCCUGAUGCAGCCAUGCCGCGUGUGUGAAGAAGGCCUUCGGGUUGUAAAGCACUUUCAGUCGUGAGGAAGGUGGUGUAGUUAAUAGCACUAUCAUUUGACGUUAGCGACAGAAGAAGCACCGGCUAACUCCGUGCCAGCAGCCGCGGUAAUACGGAGGGUGCGAGCGUUAAUCGGAAUUACUGGGCGUAAAGCGCAUGCAGGUGGUUUGUUAAGUCAGAUGUGAAAGCCCGGGGCUCAACCUCGGAAUUGCAUUUGAAACUGGCAGACUAGAGUACUGUAGAGGGGGGGUAGAAUUUCAGGUGUAGCGGUGAAAUGCGUAGAGAUCUGAAGGAAUACCGGUGGCGAAGGCGGCCCCCUGGACAGAUACUGACACUCAGAUGCGAAAGCGUGGGGAGCAAACAGGAUUAGAUACCCUGGUAGUCCACGCCGUAAACGAUGUCUACUUGGAGGUUGUGGCCUUGAGCCGUGGCUUUCGGAGCUAACGCGUUAAGUAGACCGCCUGGGGAGUACGGUCGCAAGAUUAAAACUCAAAUGAAUUGACGGGGGCCCGCACAAGCGGUGGAGCAUGUGGUUUAAUUCGAUGCAACGCGAAGAACCUUACCUACUCUUGACAUCCAGAGAACUUUCCAGAGAUGGAUUGGUGCCUUCGGGAACUCUGAGACAGGUGCUGCAUGGCUGUCGUCAGCUCGUGUUGUGAAAUGUUGGGUUAAGUCCCGCAACGAGCGCAACCCUUAUCCUUGUUUGCCAGCGAGUAAUGUCGGGAACUCCAGGGAGACUGCCGGUGAUAAACCGGAGGAAGGUGGGGACGACGU
rnacentral:rRNA from 1 species